rnacentral:rRNA from 1 species
UACGUAGGGUGCGAGCGUUGUCCGGAAUUACUGGGCGUAAAGAGCUCGUAGGUGGUUUGUCGCGUUGUUCGUGAAAACUCACAGCUCAACUGUGGGCGUGCGGGCGAUACGGGCAGACUGGAGUACUGCAGGGGAGACUGGAAUCCUGGUGUAGCGGUGGAAUGCGCAGAUAUCAGGAGGAACACCGGUGGCGAAGGCGGGUCUCUGGGCAGUAACUGACGCUGAGGAGCGAAAGCGUGGGGAGCGAACAGG